UACAGAGGGUGCUAGCGUUGUUCGGAAUCAUUGGGCGUAAAGGGCGUGUAGGCGGUUUUGUUAAGUCAUGUGUGAAAUCCCUCGGCUCAACCGGGGAACGACGCAUGAAACUGGCAAGCUAGAGUACCAAAGAGGGGGGUGGAAUUCCCGGUGUAGCGGUGAAAUGCGUAGAUAAUCGGGAGGAACACCUGUGGCGAAGGCGGCCCCCUGGUUGGAUACUGACGCUGAUACGCGAAAGCGUGGGGAGCAACAGG
rnacentral:rRNA from 1 species